rnacentral:rRNA from 1 species
AUUGAACGCUGGCGGCAGGCUUAACACAUGCAAGUCGAGCGGAGCGAGGGUGCUUGCACCUUAGCUUAGCGGCGGACGGGUGAGUAAUGCUUAGGAAUCUGCCUAUUAGUGGGGGACAACAUUCCGAAAGGAAUGCUAAUACCGCAUACGCCCUACGGGGGAAAGCAGGGGAUCUUCAGACCUUGCGCUAAUAGAUGAGCCUAAGUCGGCUUAGCUAGUUGGUGGGGUAAAUGCCUACCAAGGCGACCAUCUGUAGCGGGUCUGAGAGGAUGAUCCGCCACCCUGGGACUGAGUCACGGCCCAGACUCCUACGGGAGGCAGCAGUGGGGAAUAUUGGACAAUGGGCGAAAGCCUGAUCCAGCCAUGCGGCGUGUGUGAAGAAGGCCUUUUGGUUGUAAAGCACUUUAAGCGAGGAGGAGGCUACUUAGAUUAAUACUCUGGGAUAGUGGACGUUACUCGCAGAAUAAGCACCGGCUAACUCUGUGCCAGCAGCCGCAGUAA